AACGAACGCUGGCGGCAUGCCUAACACAUGCAAGUCGAACGAAGCCUUCGGGCUUAGUGGCGCACGGGUGCGUAACGCGUGGGAAUCUGCCCUUGGGUUCGGAAUAACAGUUAGAAAUGACUGCUAAUACCGGAUGAUGUCUUCGGACCAAAGAUUUAUCGCCCCAAGGAUGAGCCCGCGUAGGAUUAGGUAGUUGGUGGGGUAAUGGCCCACCAAGCCGACGAUCCUUAGCUGGUCUGAGAGGAUGAUCAGCCACACUGGGACUGAGACACGGCCCAGACUCCUACGGGAGGCGGCAGUGGGGAAUAUUGGACAAUGGGCGAAAGCCUGAUCCAGCAAUGCCGCGUGAGUGAUGAAGGCCUUAGGGUUGUAAAGCUCUUUUACCAGGGAUGAUAAUGACAGUACCUGGAGAAUAAGCUCCGGCUAACUCCGUGCCAGCAGCCGCCGUAA
rnacentral:rRNA from 1 species